UACAGUCAUAUCAUGUUUAAAACACUGGUUUCCAUAUGAUCACUGGUGUUAAGCAAUGUGAAGACUGUUCAGUACCUAUAUGGGUGACCUCUUGAGAAUACCAGGUGC